AGUGAACGCUGGCGGUAGGCCUAACACAUGCAAGUCGAACGGCAGCACAGGAGAGCUUGCUCUCUGGGUGGCGAGUGGCGGACGGGUGAGGAAUACAUCGGAAUCUACUCUGUCGUGGGGGAUAACGUAGGGAAACUUACGCUAAUACCGCAUACGACCUACGGGUGAAAGCAGGGGACCUUCGGGCCUUGCGCGAUUGAAUGAGCCGAUGUCGGAUUAGCUAGUUGGCGGGGUAAAGGCCCACCAAGGCGACGAUCCGUAGCUGGUCUGGGAGGAGGAUCAGCCACACUGGAACGGAGACACGGUCCAGACUCCUACGGGAGUCAGCAGUGGGGAAUAUUGGACAAUGGGCGCAAGCCUGAUCCAGCCAUACCGCGUGGGUGAAGAAGGCCUUCGGGUUGUAAAGCCCUUUUGUUGGGAAAGAAACCCAGCUGGCUAAUACCCGGUUGGGAUGACGGUACCCAAAGAAUAAGUACCGACUAACUUCGUGCCAGCAGCCGCCGUAA
rnacentral:rRNA from 1 species